UACAGAGGUCCCGAGCGUUGUUCGGAUUCAUUGGGCGUAAAGGGUGCGUAGGUGGCGCCGUAAGUCAGGUGUGAAAUUUCGGAGCUUAACUCCGAAACUGCAUUUGAUACUGCGGUGCUUGAGGACUGGAGAGGAGACUGGAAUUUACGGUGUAGCAGUGAAAUGCGUAGAGAUCGUAAGGAAGACCAGUGGCGAAGGCGGGUCUCUGGACAGUUCCUGACACUGAGGCACGAAGGCCAGGGGAGCAAACAGG
rnacentral:rRNA from 1 species